rnacentral:rRNA from 1 species
GAUGAACGCUGGCGGCGUGCCUAAUACAUGCAAGUCGAGCGAACAGACGAGGAGCUUGCUCCUCUGACGUUAGCGGCGGACGGGUGAGUAACACGUGGAUAACCUACCUAUAAGACUGGGAUAACUUCGGGAAACCGGAGCUAAUACCGGAUAAUAUAUUGAACCGCAUGGUUCAAUAGUGAAAGACGGUUUUGCUGUCACUUAUAGAUGGAUCCGCGCCGCAUUAGCUAGUUGGUAAGGUAACGGCUUACCAAGGCGACGAUGCGUAGCCGACCUGAGAGGGUGAUCGGCCAAACUGGAACUGAGACACGGUCCAGAAUCCUAAGGGAGGCAGCAGUAGGGAAUCUUCCGCAAUGGGCGAAAGCCUGACGGAGCAACGCCGUGUGAGUGAUGAAGGUCUUCGGAUCGUAAAACUCUGUUAUUAGGGAAGAACAAAUGUGUAAGUAACUAUGCACGUCUUGACGGUACCUAAUCAGAAAGCCACGGCUAACUACGUG